rnacentral:rRNA from 1 species
GACAGAGGUGCCGAGCGUUAGGCGGAAUCACUGGGCUUAAAGCGUGUGUAGGCGGGCGGGCAAGUACCUUGUGAAAUCCCACGGCUCAACCGUGGAACGGCUGGGUAUACUGCCUGUCUUGAGCCAACUAGGGGCGAGCGGAACAGACGGUGGAGCGGUGAAAUGCGUAGAUAUCGUCUGGAACGCCAAAGGUGAAAACAGCUCGCUGGGGUUGUGCUGACGCUGAGACACAAAAGCCAGGGGAGCGAACGGG